UGGGGAAUAUUGGACAAUGGGCGAAAGCCUGAUCCAGCAAUACCGCGUGAAUGAUGAAGGCCUUAGGGUUGUAAAGUUCUUUUAGUUGGAAAGAUAAUGACGGUACCCGGAGAAGAAGCCCCGGCUAACUUCGUGCCAGCAGCCGCGGUAAUACGAAGGGGGCUAGCGUUGCUCGGAAUUACUGGGCGUAAAGGGAGCGUAGGCGGACAUUUAAGUCAGGGGUGAAAUCCCGGGGCUCAACCUCGGAAUUGCCUUUGAUACUCCCGGUCUUGAGGUCGAGAGAGGUGAGUGGAAUUCCGAGUGUAGAGGUGAAAUUCGUAGAUAUUCGGAGGAACACCAGUGGCGAAGGCGGCUCACUGGCUCGAUACUGACGCUGAGGUGCGAAAGCGUGGGGAGCAAACA
rnacentral:rRNA from 1 species